GCCCGGCUAGCGCAAUGGUAGCGCGCAAGACUUCUACUUUGGGAAAUAAAGUAAUCUUGAGGUUGCCAGUUCGACCCUGGCGUUGGGCU
rnacentral:tRNA from 1 species